rnacentral:rRNA from 1 species
CAAUAGCGUAUAUUGAAGUUGUUGCAGUUAAAAAGCUCGUAGUUGGAUUUCUGGUCGGAAGCUCCUGUCCUCUGAUGAGCGUACAAGUGCGUCCUACCAUCCUUCUGUUAACCUUUAAGGCUUUCGCGGCUUUCUAGGGGCUCAGAUAUUUUACCUUGAGAAAAUUAGAGUGUUUCAGGCAGGCUAGCGCCGGAAUACAUUAGCAUGGAAUAAUGGAAUAGGACUUUUGCCUCUUCUGUUGGUCAUGAGGCUCGAGUAAUGAUUAAUAGGGAUAGUUGGGGGCAUUAGUACUUAACUGUCAGAGGUGAAAUUCUCGGAUUUGUUAAAGACUAACUUAUGCGAAAGCAUUUGCCAAGGAUGUUUUCAUUAA